UAAGAGGAGGGUUGGGGGUCAAUACAGUAAAAAGGGGGAGGAACAGAGACAAAUAACACCUAGGUAGCUCAAUAAAGCUCCAAGGAAUCAUGUCAUUUAAUAUUUAUCUAAACUUAUACACAAUGCACCUAAGUGUAUGUGUAUGUCUAUAACACUAAUCUUUCCCUGAAUUAUAUACAAUUUAACAUUUCUGUUUAUUUUUCAGUUAAAUUGUGUGAUCCUAGAGGGCAGCAGAUAACUUAGACACUUCUAAUUUGUGCUCUGUGCCACACUCCACUGAGAAUUGAGUGUCAUCUACACCCUUUGGAUGCUUACUGUUGGAUGGCCCGAGCACUCAAGACCUCACUCAUGAAAUGAUCCCUGGAAAGAAGAGAUCUUAUUUCCAGAUGGGAAAACCGAGGGGUAGUGGGGUUGACAUCGGGAUCCUCUAGUCAGUGAAUGACAGGUGUGUCAAAGCUGCACCUGCCGGACUAUACACCCCACUCUCUCUGAACUUUGGUGGUUUUCAUUUGCUUUCAGACAUAGUAGUUUGCUGUCAGGUUUAUCAAGGUGAACUUGAGCAUUCAUCACUGAAUGUUUUUUGUUUGUUCGUUCAUUUUCUGGCAUUUCAGCCUUUUUCUUGUUCCUGCACUUAAUUGUGACUGUCCGGUCUCACAAUCUCAGAAGAUCCUGGCUGUGGCAGUGAGAGAAGGGAGGGAACUCUGGAGGAUGCUGCGGAGCUCUGAGGUCCAGGAACCAUCGCUUCUAGGUCUUGAUCGUCAAAAAUCUCAUAUCUUGAGGAAUCUCAGCAAUGCUGAUUGAUUCACAGCGUCAGAAUUUAUUUGCACUGAAGCCGUGGAGAUCUUCCUACCUCUGCAGUUCCCUACAGCCAGUCACAUCGGUCCUCCCGAGGCACCCCUUGUCUUCUGAACAGGAACACUGGGUUCCAAGCAGGCACAGCAAGGAAACUUUACAUAAGGCAACCUCUGUGAGAGGGUCAUUCGACCACCAAAGGAGUUGCAACCCACAGGUGGAGAACCACUUUAGAGACUACAGCGAUAUGAUGAACACACAUAGGAGCUCAGAGACUGAGGCAGCAUGCACAGAGCCUGCACAGGCCUGCCUCAACAGAAACAAGCAAGAACAGACACUUCAACCAGGUUGCAAAGACUGAGACGGACCAUGCAGACAUCAAGUUCAGUUGGUUGAUCUUUAUUAA